rnacentral:rRNA from 1 species
UACGUAGGUGACAAGCGUUGUCCGGAUUUACUGGGCGUAAAGAGCGCGCAGGCGGUCGAUCAAGUCGAGUGUGAAAGCCCCCCGGCUCAACUGGGGAGGGUCAUUCGAUACUGAUCGACUCGAAGGCAGGAGAGGGUAGUGGAAUUCCCGGUGUAGUGGUGAAAUGCGUAGAUAUCGGGAGGAACACCAGUGGCGAAGGCGACUACCUGGCUGUUCUUGACGCUGAGGCGCGAAAGCUAGGGGAGCGAACAGG